AGCUUGCUUCUCUGAUGUUAGCGGCGGACGGGUGAGUAACACGUGGAUAACCUACCUAUAAGACUGGGAUAACUUCGGGAAACCGUAGCUAAUACUGGAUAAUAUUUUGAACCGCAUGGUUCAAAAGUGAAAGACGGUCUUGCCGUCACUUAUAGAUGGAUCCGCGCUGCAUUAGCUAGUUGGUAAGGUAACGGCUUACCAAGGCAACGAUACAUAGCCGACCUGAGAGGGUGAUCGGCCACACUGGGACUGAGACACGGCCCAGACUCCUACGGGAGGCAGCAGUAGGGAAUCUUCGGCAAUGGGGGCAACCCUGACCGAGCAACGCCGCGUGAGUGAAGAAGGUUUUCGGAUCGUAAAGCUCUGUUGUUAGAGAAGAAUGAUGGUGGGAGUGGAAAAUCCACCAAGUGACGGUAACUAACCAGAAAGGGACGGCUAACUACGUGCCAGCAGCCGCGGUAAUACGUAGGUCCCGAGCGUUGUCCGGAUUUAUUGGGCGUAAAGCGAGCGCAGGCGGUUUUUUAAGUCUGAAGUUAAAGGCAUUGGCUCAACCAAUGUACGCUUUGGAAACUGGAGAACUUGAGUGCAGAAGGGGAGAGUGGAAUUCCACGUGUAGCGGUGAAAUGCGUAGAUAUAUGGAGGAACACCGGUGGCGAAAGCGGCUCUCUGGUCUGUAACUGACGCUGAGGCUCGAAAGCGUGGGGAG
rnacentral:rRNA from 1 species